rnacentral:lncRNA from 1 species
GUCUGAUCUGUGGGGUGAGUAUCUAUAUGGGUUGGGGGGGGGGUGAGUGUCUAUGGGGCCCAUAGGGUUGGAUCUAUGGGGUUGGAUCUAUGGGGCCCAUAGGGUUGGAUCUAUGGGGCCCAUAGG